CCUACGGGUGGCAGCAGUGAGGAAUAUUGGUCAAUGGACGAGAGUCUGAACCAGCCAAGUAGCGUGAAGGAUGACUGCCCUAUGGGUUGUAAACUUCUUUUAUAUGGGAAUAAAAUGUUCCACGUGUGGGCUUUUGUAUGUACUUUAUGAAUAAGGAUCGGCUAACUCCGUGCCAGCAGCCGCGGUAAUACGGAGGAUCCGAGCGUUAUCCGGAUUUAUUGGGUUUAAAGGGAGCGUAGAUGGGUUGUUAAGUCAGUUGUGAAAGUUUGCGGCUCAACCGUAAAAUUGCAAUUGAUACUGGCAGUCUUGAGUACAGUUGAGGUAGGCGGAAUUCGUGGUGUAGCGGUGAAAUGCUUAGAUAUCACGAAGAACUCCGAUUGCGAAGGCAGCUUACUAAACUGCCACUGACAUUGAUGCUCGAAAGUGUGGGUAUCAAACAGGAUUAGAUACCCUAGUAGUC
rnacentral:rRNA from 1 species